UACGAAGGGGGCUAGCGUUGUUCGGAAUUACUGGGCGUAAAGCGCACGUAGGCGGACUAUUAAGUCAGGGGUGAAAUCCCGGGGCUCAACCCCGGAACUGCCUUUGAUACUGGUAGUCUCGAGUCCGGAAGAGGUGAGUGGAAUUCCGAGUGUAGAGGUGAAAUUCGUAGAUACUCGGAGGAACACCAGUGGCGAAGGCGGCUCACUGGUCCGGUACUGACGCUGAGGUGCGAAAGCGUGGGGAGCAAACAGG
rnacentral:rRNA from 1 species